rnacentral:tRNA from 1 species
UCCGCCUUGGUGUAACGGCAGCACGCCGGCCUUUGGAGCCGUGCAGACUAGGUUCGAAUCCUAGAGGCGGAG